UUAAGCGACUAAGCGUACACGGUGGAUGCCCUGGCAGUCAGAGGCGAUGAAGGACGUGCUAAUCUGCGAUAAGCGUCGGUAAGGUGAUAUGAACCGUUAUAACCGGCGAUUUCCGAAUGGGGAAACCCAGUGUGUUUCGACACACUAUCAUUAACUGAAUCCAUAGGUUAAUGAGGCGAACCGGGGGAACUGAAACAUCUAAGUACCCCGAGGAAAAGAAAUCAACCGAGAUUCCCCCAGUAGCGGCGAGCGAACGGGGAGCAGCCCAGAGCCUGAAUCAGUGUGUGUGUUAGUGGAAGCGUCUGGAAAGGCGCGCGAUACAGGGUGACAGCCCCGUACACAAAAAUGCACAUGCUGUGAGCUCGAUGAGUAGGGCGGGACACGUGGUAUCCUGUCUGAAUAUGGGGGGACCAUCCUCCAAGGCUAAAUACUCCUGACUGACCGAUAGUGAACCAGUACCGUGAGGGAAAGGCGAAAAGAACCCCGGCGAGGGGAGUGAAAAAGAACCUGAAACCGUGUACGUACAAGCAGUGGGAGCACGCUUAGGCGUGUGACUGCGUACCUUUUGUAUAAUGGGUCAGCGACUUAUAUUCUGUAGCAAGGUUAACCGAAUAGGGGAGCCGAAGGGAAACCGAGUCUUAACUGGGCGUUAAGUUGCAGGGUAUAGACCCGAAACCCGGUGAUCUAGCCAUGGGCAGGUUGAAGGUUGGGUAACACUAACUGGAGGACCGAACCGACUAAUGUUGAAAAAUUAGCGGAUGACUUGUGGCUGGGGGUGAAAGGCCAAUCAAACCGGGAGAUAGCUGGUUCUCCCCGAAAGCUAUUUAGGUAGCGCCUCGUGAAUUCAUCUCCGGGGGUAGAGCACUGUUUCGGCAAGGGGGUCAUCCCGACUUACCAACCCGAUGCAAACUGCGAAUACCGGAGAAUGUUAUCACGGGAGACACACGGCGGGUGCUAACGUCCGUCGUGAAGAGGGAAACAACCCAGACCGCCAGCUAAGGUCCCAAAGUCAUGGUUAAGUGGGAAACGAUGUGGGAAGGCCCAGACAGCCAGGAUGUUGGCUUAGAAGCAGCCAUCAUUUAAAGAAAGCGUAAUAGCUCACUGGUCGAGUCGGCCUGCGCGGAAGAUGUAACGGGGCUAAACCAUGCACCGAAGCUGCGGCAGCGACGCUUAUGCGUUGUUGGGUAGGGGAGCGUUCUGUAAGCCUGCGAAGGUGUGCUGUGAGGCAUGCUGGAGGUAUCAGAAGUGCGAAUGCUGACAUAAGUAACGAUAAAGCGGGUGAAAAGCCCGCUCGCCGGAAGACCAAGGGUUCCUGUCCAACGUUAAUCGGGGCAGGGUGAGUCGACCCCUAAGGCGAGGCCGAAAGGCGUAGUCGAUGGGAAACAGGUUAAUAUUCCUGUACUUGGUGUUACUGCGAAGGGGGGACGGAGAAGGCUAUGUUGGCCGGGCGACGGUUGUCCCGGUUUAAGCGUGUAGGCUGGUUUUCCAGGCAAAUCCGGAAAAUCAAGGCUGAGGCGUGAUGACGAGGCACUACGGUGCUGAAGCAACAAAUGCCCUGCUUCCAGGAAAAGCCUCUAAGCAUCAGGUAACAUCAAAUCGUACCCCAAACCGACACAGGUGGUCAGGUAGAGAAUACCAAGGCGCUUGAGAGAACUCGGGUGAAGGAACUAGGCAAAAUGGUGCCGUAACUUCGGGAGAAGGCACGCUGAUAUGUAGGUGAGGUCCCUCGCGGAUGGAGCUGAAAUCAGUCGAAGAUACCAGCUGGCUGCAACUGUUUAUUAAAAACACAGCACUGUGCAAACACGAAAGUGGACGUAUACGGUGUGACGCCUGCCCGGUGCCGGAAGGUUAAUUGAUGGGGUUAGCGCAAGCGAAGCUCUUGAUCGAAGCCCCGGUAAACGGCGGCCGUAACUAUAACGGUCCUAAGGUAGCGAAAUUCCUUGUCGGGUAAGUUCCGACCUGCACGAAUGGUGUAAUGAUCUGGACGCUGUCUCAACCGUGAGCUCAGUGAAAUUGUAGUAUCGGUGAAGAUGCCGAUUACCCGCGAUGGGACGAAAAGACCCCGUGAACCUUUACUAUAGCUUAACAUUGAAUUUGGGUAAUUGAUGUGUAGGAUAGGCCGGAGGCUUCGAAGCGGGCACGCCAGUGUCCGUGGAGCCGCUGUUGAAAUACGGCCCUUUGAUUAUUUGAGUUCUAACCCGUUGUUGCGGGGACACUGUUUGGUGGGUAGUUUGACUGGGGUGGUCGCCUCCAAAAGCGUAACGGAGGCUUCUAAAGGUGCCCUCACGACGAUUGGUAACCGUCGGCAGAGUGUAAUGGCAUAAGGGCGCUUGACUGGGAGACUCACAAGUCGAUCAGGUAGGAAACUAGAGCAUAGUGAUCCGGUGUUUCUGUAUGGAAAGGACAUCGCUCAAAGGAUAAAAGGUACUCCGGGGAUAACAGGCUGAUCCCUCCCAAGAGCUCAUAUCGACGGAGGGGUUUGGCACCUUGAUGUCGGCUCGUCACAUCCUGGGGCUGGAGAAGGUCCCAAGGGUUCGGCUGUUCGCCGAUUAAAGUGGCACGCGAGCUGGGUUCAGAACGUCGUGAGACAGUUCGGUCUCUAUCUAUCGUGGGCGUAUGAAAUUUGCGUGGCUCUGACACUAGUACGAGAGGACCGUGUUGGACAGACCUCUGGUUUGCCGGUUGUGCCGCCAGGUGCAUUGCCGGGUAUCUAAGUCUGGAUCGGAUAAGUGCUGAAAGCAUCUAAGUACGAAGCCGGCCACAAGAUUAGAUUUCUCAGGGUCGUUGUAGACUACGACGUUGAUAGGAUGCAGGUGUAAAGAUGGAGACAUCAAAGCCGAGCAUUACUAAUUGCCCGUUCACUUUCCUU
rnacentral:rRNA from 1 species